UCCAAGUCUCUCUUUGUGGACAUCUAUAUAUUGGACAUCUAUAUUGUACGUUACAUGAAACGUACAAUAUAGAUGUCCAAUAUAUAGAUGUCCACAAAGAGAGACUUGGA
rnacentral:miRNA from 1 species